AGUCGAACGGGAUUUAGUAAACAGAAACCUCGGUGGAAGAUUACUAAUGAGAGUGGCGAACGGGUGAGUAACGCGUGAGCAACCUGCCUAUGACAGUGGGAUAGCCUCGGGAAACCGGGAUUAAUACCGCAUAAAAUCGUAGAAACACAUGUUUCAACGGUCAAAGAUUUAUCGGUCAUAGAUGGGCUCGCGUCUGAUUAGCUAGUUGGUGAGAUAACAGCCCACCAAGGCGACGAUCAGUAGCCGGUCUGAGAGGAUGAACGGCCACAUUGGAACUGAGACACGGUCCAAACUCCUACGGGAGGCAGCAGUGGGGAAUAUUGCACAAUGGGGGAAACCCUGAUGCAGCGACGCCGCGUGAACGAAGAAGGUAUUCGUAUCGUAAAGUUCUGUCCUAUGGGAAGAUAAUGACAGUACCAUAGAAGAAAGCUCCGGCUAAAUACGUGCCAGCAGCCGCGGUAAUACGUAUGGAGCGAGCGUCGUCCGGAAUUAUUGGGCGUAAAGGGUACGCAGGCGGUUUAAUAAGUCGAAUGUUAAAGAUCGGGGCUCAACCCCGUAAAGCAUUGGAAACUGAUAAACUUGAGUAGUGGAGAGGAAAGUGGAAUUCCUAGUGUAGUGGUGA
rnacentral:rRNA from 1 species